GUCGGCGUGGCGGAACCGGUAGACGCGCCAGAUUUAGGAUCUGGUGGGGCAACCCGUGGAGGUUCGAGUCCUCUCGCCGACACCA
rnacentral:tRNA from 1 species